GUGGAGGUGAGGGUUUCUCACUGGGGGAUCUCUACCUCCCUGAGGAUCUGAUGCAUCUUCCGAAGGGGAAGCCACGUGCUUGCUCUGCUCCUGGGUGCCUGAAGAGCUCUGGAAAUCCAGCUUGAACAGCCUGGAGAGGCCUGGACUUACCUGAUGGGAGUUUUCAGCAGUGAUACUCACUACAAAUCAAGAAGAAAAUGAAAUAUCAAGGACCACCUUACAGCAGGCAAUCCAGAGACUUUCUGAAACUAAAUUGCAAAGACCAAGUGGGGAUGCUGAGUGAGUGACUGCAGACAAAGCAUAAGACACCCAGGCAAUGAAAGAAAGAAAUGAAGCUAAACAGAGGUGGAGCACAAUAAAAAUUGUACUCAGACACUGCCUGCGGUUAAUUCAAGCUGAGCUGUGGGGGAUCUCACUGAAUUCCUUUCUCCUCUUCUUCAAGUGCUUAUUUACCCAGGUGGUACAUGGAUGACAUCCUCUGUAUGAGAGCUACCAGCAAUUUUAGGUCUGUUUAAACAAGUAUUAGGAAGGUAUUGAGAUGGUAGCAGGGAGAUUAGACAGUCACUGAGUACCGUAAGAAGAUCUGAACCUACACAAAUGCCUUAUAUUGACAACAGAACGCUUCAGAACAAUUUGAAGUAAAUGUAUUUUCAAACUAUGUCUUCCCCUUUCUUAGAAUUGAACAGAAUCUGUUUAAGCAUUAAGACCAAACUUAUCCCUGUGUAAUGAAGUUCACUGCUGAGCAAAAUGCAUGUGCAGAUGUGCUGGUGGUCCAGGAAGGGCCAGAGCUGCUUUGCACUCUUCCUUUCCCUGUGGACUGAGCUCACAACAGAAGGAGGCUGUUUGCAUCGUCCACAUGGGAAACUGGAAGUAACGUGGCUAAGCUGAAAAAGUCUGCUACUGUCUCUAAGACAUCUGCUGAAGCUGAUCUGCUGACUCCCAGGAUGUCAUCACAUGCUGCCUGCCAUUUGCAAAGGGUGUGUUAUGUUCCUACAGAGCUAAAAAAGGGGCUCAGAGGCUGGAGGAGUUCAGUCUCACUUUAUCCAAUUGAGUGGAAUUUGUCUUUGUAAAAAAGGGCAGACACAAGAAAUGGGCUGAGGGGGAAUAGCCAAGUUCUUCCUAUGCCUCUGCAGUGUGAGGGCUGUGCACCACUGAGGAGGCAUCUCAGCUUCACCUUAGAUCAGAUACCCGCUGUGACUGCAGAGUUAAGGCAACUUGGUUGUUUAGCAAGUAACCACAAAGGAAUGCACAGUAGUUAUGUCAAAGCUCAUCCCUUUUAGCUUUUCAACA